rnacentral:lncRNA from 1 species
UUCUUAACUGCCCAAACUCGACUGAGUUGUUAGUUUAAACACCAACCUGUAUACACAGUCAGGCAUGCAUUAUUAGCUAAAAAAAUACAUUGAAUUCGAUUGAUAGCUAAGGCGCUGUUGAUGUCUACCGCUGUCGAAACCUUCUGUUCCUACGAAUAGAAUGGGAAGUUCAGUCUAAGGCUCUGGGGUAAACUGAAGUUUGAGCAACGAGGAAACAUUUAAGCGACUGAACGAGAUAGAAUUCUCGUUGAUGACCGACAAAUUACUUGAGAAGCUUUGAAAAUGAUAGUCUUCGGUAAUGGUUUCUGGUAGCGCACGUGGAAAGCAGGCAGACAAAAGAACUUCAAGGUUUUAAAGAACCUUGGGAGCUUUGCCGAGCUGUUUCAUGAAACUUAUCCACAUAAGAUGGAAAUGUGCAAACUGAUCCUCAGCUUCCCGCCUUUUUACGUGGCUUCCUAUUGUUCCACAAGAAGCCCCUAAAAGGUUUUCUUUUGUUAUACUGAUAAACAUUUCGGCUUAUCUGUUAAAUGUAAACGACUUCUUUGGAACUUAGUAAAAUAAAAGCUUUCAACUCCACUA